GCCCCCGUGGCCCAACUGGUAGAGGCACCCGGCUCAGACCCGGGACGGUGAUGGUUCGACUCCAUCCGGGGGUA
rnacentral:tRNA from 1 species